GUUAUAGGAACAAGCGAAUAAGUGCACAUGGUGGAUGCCUUGGCGAUUACAGGCGAUGAAGGACGUAGUAGCUUGCGAUAAGCUGCGGGGAGCUGGCAAACAAGCUUUGAUCCGCAGAUUUCCGAAUGGGGAAACCCGGCCGUAAGGUCAUCGUUAUCUGAAUACAUAGGGUAACGAAGCGAACGUGGCGAACUGAAACAUCUAAGUAGCUACAGGAAAAGAAAUCAACCGAGAUUCCCAAAGUAGUGGCGAGCGAAAUGGGAUCAGCCUGCAAGAUUUAGCAUCAACGAUAGCAAAACGGAAUGGAAAGUCCGGCCAUAGUGGGUGAUAGCCCCGUAUGCGAAAUCGAUGGUGUGGAACUAGGCUUGCGACAAGUAGGGCGGGACACGUGAAAUCCUGUCUGAACAUGGGGGGACCAUCCUCCAAGGCUAAAUACUCGUAAUCGACCGAUAGUGAACCAGUACCGUGAGGGAAAGGCGAAAAGAACCUGUUAUGGCUAGGGGGUCAUCGCGACUUACCAAACCAUUGCAAACUCCGAAUACCGAUGAGUGCGAGCUUGGGAGACAGACGCCGGGUGCUAACGUCCGACGUCAAGAGGGAAACAACCCAGACCGCCAGCUAAGGUCCCAAAGAUUGGCUAAGUGGAAAACGAAGUGGGAAGGCUAAAACAGUCAGGAGGUUGGCUUAGAAGCAGCCAUCCUUUAAAGAAAGCGUAAUAGCUCACUGAUCGAGUCGUCCUGCGCGGAAGAUGUAACGGGGCUAAGCCAGUCACCGAAGCUGCGGAUAUCCGUAAGGAUAUGGUAGGAGAGCGUUCUGUAAGCCUGUGAAGGUGUCUUGUAAAGGAUGCUGGAGGUAUCAGAAGUGCGAAUGCUGACAUGAGUAGCGAUAAUGCGGGUGAAAAGCCCGCACGCCGUAAGCCCAAGGUUUCCUGUUCAACGUUCAUCGGAGCAGGGUGAGUCGGCCCCUAAGGCGAGGCAGAGAUGCGUAGCUGAUGGGAAGCAGGUUAAUAUUCCUGCACCGUCGUUAGAUGCGAUGGGGGGACGGAUCGCGGAAGGUUGUCCGGGUGUUGGAAGUCCCGGUUUUUGUAUCGAAGAAGGCUGUUAGGCAAAUCCGGCAGCGUAAUUCAAGGGUACGAGACGAGCGAACUUGUUCGCGAAGCAAUCGGAAGUGGUUCCAAGAAAAGCCUCUAAGCUUCAGUCUAACGAGACCGUACCGCAAACCGACACAGGUGGGCGAGAUGAGUAUUCUAAGGCGCUUGAGAGAACUCGGGAGAAGGAACUCGGCAAAUUGGUACCGUAACUUCGGGAUAAGGUACGCCCAAGUAGUUUGACUGGCCUGCGCCAGAAGGACAAAAGGGUUGCAAUAAAAUGGUGGCUGCGACUGUUUAAUAAAAACACAGCACUCUGCAAACACGAAAGUGGACGUAUAGGGUGUGACGCCUGCCCGGUGCUGGAAGAUUAAAUGAUGGGGUGCAAGCUCUUGAUUGAAGUCCCAGUAAACGGCGGCCGUAACUAUAACGGUCCUAAGGUAGCGAAAUUCCUUGUCGGGUAAGUUCCGACCUGCACGAAUGGCGUAACGAUGGCCACACUGUCUCCUCCCGAGACUCAGCGAAGUUGAAAUGUUUGUGAUGAUGCAAUCUACCCGCGGCUAGACGGAAAGACCCCAUGAACCUUUACUGUAGCUUUGCAUUGGACUUUGAACCAAUCUGUGUAGGAUAGGUGGGAGGCUUUGAAGUAGGGACGCUAGUCUCUAUGGAGCCGACCUUGAAAUACCACCCUGGUUUGUUUGAGGUUCUAACCUUGGUCCGUUAUCCGGAUCGGGGACAGUGCAUGGUAGGCAGUUUGACUGGGGCGGUCUCCUCCCAAAGUGUAACGGAGGAGUUCGAAGGUACGCUAGGUACGGUCGGACAUCGUGCUAAUAGUGCAAUGGCAUAAGCGUGCUUAACUGCGAGACUGACAAGUCGAGCAGGUACGAAAGUAGGACAUAGUGAUCCGGUGGUUCUGUAUGGAAGGGCCAUCGCUCAACGGAUAAAAGGUACUCUGGGGAUAACAGGCUGAUUCCUCCCAAGAGUUCAUAUCGACGGGGGAGUUUGGCACCUCGAUGUCGGCUCAUCACAUCCUGGGGCUGUAGCCGGUCCCAAGGGUAUGGCUGUUCGCCAUUUAAAGUGGUACGUGAGCUGGGUUUAAAACGUCGUGAGACAGUUUGGUCCCUAUCUGCCGUGGGCGUUGGAAGUUUGAAGGGGGCUGCUCCUAGUACGAGAGGACCGGAGUGGACGAACCUCUGGUGUAUCGGUUGUCACGCCAGUGGCAUUGCCGAGUAGCUAAGUUCGGAAGAGAUAACCGCUGAAAGCAUCUAAGCGGGAAACUCGCCUUGAGAUGAGACUUCCCGGGAACUAGAUUCCCCUAAAGGGUCGUUCGAGACCAGGACGUUGAUAGGUCAGGUGUGGAAGCGCAGUAAUGCGUUAAGCUAACUGAUACUAAUUGCCCGUGCGGCUUGUUCCUAUAACAUUAG
rnacentral:rRNA from 1 species